rnacentral:rRNA from 1 species
UACGUAGGGUGCAAGCGUUGUCCGGAAUUAUUGGGCGUAAAGAGCUCGUAGGCGGUUUGUUGCGUCGGCUGUGAAAUCCCGAGGCUCAACCUCGGGCUUGCAGUGGGUACGGGCAGACUAGAGUGCGGUAGGGGUGACUGGAAUUCCUGGUGUAGCGGUGGAAUGCGCAGAUAUCAGGAGGAACACCGAUGGCGAAGGCAGGUCACUGGGCCGCAACUGACGCUGAGGAGCGAAAGCAUGGGGAGCGAACAGG